GUGCAGCAGGCGCGAAAACUUCGCAAUGCGCGAAAGCGCGACGAGGGGAUUCCAAGUGCAUGCACUAAGUGUAUGCUUUUCGUGAGUUUAAAACGCUCACGGAAUAAGGGCUGGGUAAGACUGGUGCCAGCCGCCGCGGUAAUACCAGCGGCCCUAGUGGCGAUCGUUAUUAUUGGGCCUAAAGCGUCCGUAGCCGGUCCGGUAAAUCUCUGGGUAAAUCGUUGGGCUUAACUCAGCGAAUUCUGGGGAGACUGCUGGACUUGGGACCGGGAGAGGUCGGAGGUACUCCAGGGGUAGGGGUGAAAAUCCUGUAAUCCUUGGGGGACCACCGGUGGCGAAGGCGUCCGACCAGAACGGGUCCGACGGUAAGGGACGAAGCCCUGGGGCGCGAACCGGAUUAGAUACCCCCGUA
rnacentral:rRNA from 1 species